CAAAAUGGAGCUUGUGAAUCUCACCUUGAUCCUUCAAUCCUGUAGUAUACAAUGACACUACUGAAAAAAAUAAUAGAGAAUUAACAUGAACUAAAAUAAAUAAUUGAAUUAUUCACUUGCACUGAUUUUUAUUACAGCUCUUGACAAGUUAGUUCAAACUUUUAUCCUGCAAAGUUUCAUACAUGUAUGUUUUUGUAAUGAAUCAAUCAUGUGAGCUUCCUAAGGAGUUAAGCUUAAUGGCAAAAAUAUUUUUAAAAUGCAAAAAGCAGCAGCUACUUUCCUACCUGAGAUUGGAUUUAAUCGCACUUUAAAAAUCAGAAGAUUGAUUCAAUCUCUUGUUAAAAUUGAAAUAGAUCUUUAAAUAAUUAAUAUAAAAAUGACCCCAAAAUUCCUUUGUUACCAGAAAAUAAGUUUUCUUUUAAUCAUAUUCUGCUAUUUCUGAUCCAGGUGGAGCCAGAAGAAAAAAAUCUGAAAACAUGAUAGAGCUUACUUUCGCCUUAUGAUUGAAAACUGAAGAUUCAUUAAAUUCAGAUACUGAUAAAAAACUUUGGAUAAGCAUAAGAUUUUCAUGGCUUAGAAGACUUAACCUUAGAUUUUUUUUUUUUAACAAUUUAGCUAAUUGGCAGGCCAUUAGCAUUUUUAAAAUGUUUCUCAAAUCUUUGAAUGUGCCAUAUUUGAACUGGACAUGUAUGUCUGGGGCUUAAGCAAAUGAGAAACCUUGUGAAUAAAACAAGAAGAACAAAAAAAAAGCAAUUAGAAAUAGGAGAUUCGGUAUAUUUUUUAAUGUACUUAUCUUACAGAUGACACAACUGAUUUUGGAACAAAUGGAACCAAGACAGAAAGGUCUGAUUCUGAACCUGUCCUCUGGUCUGGGUACUUUCCCUUGUCUGCUAUACACAAAGUAUUUAGCAUCUAAGUCAAGGAAUUCUGCAGGAAGAAGAACAGGAAGCUUUCAGGAUGGAUAAUAAGUGCUGGAACUUUGGAGAUCUGCAGCCAUAAAAUAUCUACUUCUAUCCAGAGAUUAUCAAUGACCUCUGCACUGUCUGAGAAGGGCUGGAAGAGGCAGGAUCAUAGGCAAAUAUAGACUUAAUAUAAAACAAUUCUUUGAAUCAAACUGCUACUGAGUGAAAGCAGAAAAUAUCUAGAAGUGAAAGUGAGAUGUCUGUGUAGGGCAUUCAGCAUUGUUGAUUUGAAUAGCAAGGAAUAGAAGCGGUUUGUUCAUUGCUGCAUAAAAAAUGUGUUUACCGGUGAUUAAAUUAUGUUCUGAUAAGCGUGAUAUUUGUGCAGCUGUUCAACAAAUAAAUAUGGACUAUAAUAUAUGAUAAAUAAUACAUAUGAGCCAAAAAAUGAAUUUCCUGAGGAAAAUGCUCAUUCAAUAAGAGGCUUGAAUAGAGUGCAGAGGUUGUGUCCGCCACUGGUAGAAGUGCCCAUGCAUCAUGGAUUUCAAGCACUGUAUUCUCUGAUAUGUCUCUCCUUUUCUUGCCUCUCUGUUCCAAAUACAUACUGAUGUUGUGCCUAUGUGCAGAUCUUCACAUGUCUGAUUUACAUGCAUGAAUAGUCCCAGCAAGAUGAAGGCGCUUCUGUGAAAAAGUGGCUGCAGCUGCUCUGCUUAAGUCAGUGGGUGUCGCUUUACAGAUUGAAUGGGAACAGUAACAUGCCUGAGUUACCUAACUCAGGUUAAAGAGUACUCUUUCAGCCUCCUCACAGAGAAAGAAUAUCUAUAUGAUUGCCACUGGAGACAAAUAUCAGUGUAUCUAAUAAACAGGAAUUGUCAUGGUACAGGAAUAGCAUUGACACACCCAG